rnacentral:rRNA from 1 species
AUACGGAGGAUGCGAGCGUUAUCCGGAUUUAUUGGGUUUAAAGGGAGCGUAGGUGGGAUAUUAAGUCAGCUGUGAAAGUUUGGGGCUCAACCUUAAAAUUGCAGUUGAUACUGGUUUCCUUGAGUACGGUACAGGUGGGCGGAAUUCGUGGUGUAGCGGUGAAAUGCUUAGAUAUCACGAAGAACUCCGAUCGCGAAGGCAGCUCACCGGGCCGGAACUGACACUGAUGCUCGAAAGUGCGGGUAUCAAACAGGAUUAGAUACCCUGGUAGUCCGCACAGUAAACGAUGAAUACUCGCUGUUUGCGAUACACGGUAAGCGGCCAAGCGAAAGCGUUAAGUAUUCCACCUGGGGAGUACGCCGGCAACGGUGAAAAUCAAAUGAAUUGACGGG